UCUCAGGGGUUUGUCAUAAGGGGUCCCAUUUGCUUUCAUAAGGGGCCUUUGUCGUCUCAACCUUCAUUGCUUGUUGUGCCUGAGCAAAGCAGGCCUUUGCUU